UCCAGGAUCCCAAAUGUUGAGGUUCAACAAAUGCUCAUCAUUUCAUUCAGCCGAAAAAAACGGAAGCAGGGCAUCUGUCCCUGAGUUAAGAAGUGAAGAAUCCAACCAUUUGGAAAGCUCAGGUGGAUCUCCUAGGAACACAGUUGUUGGGAAGCUGCGGCCAACCCCCAGAAUCCUGACUUCUGGCAGGAGAGCUUCUGCUGCCCAGGUGUGCUGCUAUAGCAGCACCCCGGAUCUUUCAGAGGUGCUUCAGUUAAGGAUUCACUUCAGACCUCGGUUCCUGGGCUAUGAAAGACAGAAGAAUGUUACAGAUCUGCACCAAAAAGAGAAUGGCUUGCAGAUAUACAUCUUGCUUAGUUGACUACUAAGCACUGCUCUUACCUACUAGGACCGAGCAUCCUCACGUAGCUUCCAGCAUCACCAGGGAAUCAGAAGCCAGACACUUGGAAUCAGGACCAAACCUGACUGGUAGCCUAAGCACCCAAGACUAAUGGACUUACACAGUACUCCACACACCAUCAAGCCUUGCCAGAGUCUUUGAACAGCCUCAGCAAAUGCAGUGUGUGGGAAAGCAGUCCCUGGGGAACAGUCCACAUGGUCCCAUCCAUGGGCUGCUAGGUGCUAAAAAGGAAAAUUCCAUGAUGGAUUUCUCUGAAGAGGAAAACAGGUGAAUUGUUGGCACAUGGGACAUAUGAAAGUGAGCAUCAGGGAUGACAAAGAAGACACAGAGGUAUAUCAUACUUAUGCUCCUGUUGCUGCUGGAUUGUUUAGGCUGACCGUGAAGGACGUAAGUUCUUCAGGUCCCUAAAGACUGAAGGUUAAGUGUUAUGGUGAAUGAGGGAAUCUUUAAUUCCCUUCAUCACAGCUUUAUUGCUGCCUAACAUAUGACUCUGGAGUCGAAGAAGAAGCGCUCUCUGGUUAGAAUCUGAAGAACCCCUUUGUGUCAUUUUCACAGGGAACCAUGCCAAGGACUGCUUGUUGUUGAUCACAUGUACAGAUCUGAUUGUA